rnacentral:rRNA from 1 species
AUUGAACGCUGCGGCAGGCUUAACACAUGCAAGUCGAGCGAGCGGCGGACGGGUGAGUAAUGCUUAGGAAUCUGCCUAUUAGUGGGGGACAACAUCUCGAAAGGGAUGAUAAUACCGCAUACUAAUAGAUGAGCCUAAGUCGGUUUAGCUAGUUGGAGGGGUAAAGGGCUACCAAGGCGACGAUCUGUAGCGGGACUGAGAGGAUGAUCCGCCACACUGGGAAUGAGACCAGGCCCAGACGCCGUAGGGAGGGAGCCAGGGGGAAUUUUGGGCAAUGGGGGGAACGUUGAUCCGGCCAUGGCGGGGGUGUGGAGGAGGCUUUAUGGUUGUAAAGCACUUGAAGUUAGGGGGCGUUACGCGCAGAAUAAGCACCGGCUAACUCUAUGCCAGCAGCCGCGGUAAUUC